GUCUCCACCGCGGCUCUGCCAGAGGCGGAUUCGCCCGCCACAACGGCUGCGGCGGCGGCCUUCCUAUUCCUCAUCCCCACCGGAAGCUAGGUUCCCGGUAGAUGCGAAUCGCCAUUGAUCCCCACGUCCUCCGUCGACGCUGCUACCGUCGCAGCCCCUAAAUGCGAGAGCAGCGCCGUAGCAACGGCCAGAAAAUCUGAAAAGGGACACAUGAUCUUGCUGCCGUGAAGGUGAUCCAGCACGCAACCGCGCUGCCAUAAGGCUUCAUGUAAGUUCAAUCCACACCCUACAGGGCUACAGGUUAACCACAAUGGUUUGGCCUUGGAAACUUCUCCUUUCUAAGUUCUAAGUUUAUCUUGGUUAUUCUCUAUUAGUGCCUCUCUGCUGAGGUUAUGGGGAACAUGCUUUUGACCUUUUGUUAAUCUAGGCUUUCAUCAGAUUGAACUAGCUGCUGGUAGCCGAUUGUGGAUGAUGCCUUUUAAGAUUCCCAAAUUUCUAACUUGUACAUGUUAGCACUUAGCAUUUGCUACAAGUUAAAAAAGCACCAUGCAAAUGAUUGACCUUACGAUAAAUACUUGGUAAACACGGGGUCAGGAUGUGCACAGUCUCAUUGAGCUACACGUGGCAAACAGCAUAAUCAUCCUAAUCGUCACUACAUCACGAAAAAUGACAGACACGAGGUAGCGGCUAAGUAUAAAUAAUUAAAUACCCAUGUUACAUGCACUUCAUUACAGGAAUAGGGGAUGCAAGUGAGUGACUUUUUUGGUUUAGUGGACGCUAGUGUACUGGGCAGUGGGCACCAACGAUAGUGUGCACGUCUUUUAUUUUUUUUGCUUAUUGCCAUCAGUAACAACCCAUGUGCCCUAAGGCAAAGAAGCAUCAAAUUGUAUGGUGGAGGUUAUUUGCUUGUUUGCCGAUCAACCAGCUUGCCUCCUCCUCGAAUGGAGGCUUCACAGCAGGUAGAGAAUUCUCUUUUCAUGUUCGUUUCUGAAAGCGUCUAUUCAAUCCCAUGAUGAAGGGAUGUGCACCAAUAGAUGCCAGCGAUGCAGGCGUGUGGUGAUGCCAGCUGAGGAGCUUGGCAUGGAUGUAGCCGGCUUCAACAGGACAUCUGCAGCUCUCAAACACAGUCAUAAGUUCAUGACAUUUCCACCAUCUUGUGGAAGGUCAGACGACCCCCCCCCCCCCCCACCACACACACACACGGGGCAUGGACUGCAAGUCUGCAACGCAUCAGGACAUUGGCAUUGAUCCAAGUUUGUCGCCCUCAAACGUGCUGAGGUUGAGAUUGACCUGCUGCAGGCAUUUUCUGAACUUUUGGUUAAAAAGGCAUGUGCAUUGUUUAAUUCAAUGCUCUCUCUUUUGUGUCGACCUACAGAAAUGUCGUGAUAGCUCCAACCUUAAUUUUCAGAAUUUGCUUUCUCUUUCACUGUUGAAACUGUUGGUGUUAUUGGUUUUAUUUUUAUACAUUGCCUUUCAAGUUGCUUAUUCUCGAUGAAUUAAUAUGUUCCCCUGUUGCACAAUGUUCAAAACUUAGCUCCUGGUUUAGCUUUUUUUUUUUGUGUGUUAGCUCCUGUCUGCAGAGAUAUUUCUAACACCCUAACGGACAAUGUUCCCCUAUUGCACAAUGGGCAAAAAAUAGCUCCUGAUUUAGCUUUCUUGUUUUUUUGUUUACCUCCUGUGUACACUCCAUUUUCCAUCAUUGAGUUCCGUAAUGACUGAAAAGUCAGAAAUGGCACCUAUCUUACAUUGUUAGUUUUGAAGCGCGUAGAUUGAUGUUUUGGAGAUAUAUACUAAUUUUCCAGGUUAAUUCACUACAGUGCUUUGAGAUGCAGGCUACAGUGCACUAGCUCAAUAAUGGAGCUGUAGGAUUACAGGAGAUAGUGGAUCUUGCCGCUCAUACUGCGAAUUUGAGCUGUGGAGGAGACCAUGCAGUGGCAUGAUUUCUGUACCGAUGGGGAAGUUUUUGUCUAGUGGGAAGGCGUGCUCCAGUAAGCAGUGUGUAAUGGUACUAUUUGAUUCAGCACUGUAAACAGAUGGCCAUCUGUGCGCAGGACAAUGAAUGAUUUUUAUGUCCUGAUUACUUUGUAGCCUUUCUCCUGGCGGUACUUCUACUACGUCUCGCCAUCAUCAGCAACUCAUCACAGGUCCUCGAAGAACAUUUUUUUUAUUGAUAAAUGUAAUCUGUGUAGUCAAAUGUAUAUAUGUAUUUUUGCUGUAAUUUGCUGAACUAAUGCAAAAUGCAGAUAGAGCACCAGAAUGUAGGUUUGUUGCUCUGCUCUGGUCAUGGAAUUCGUUGUAUCUACAACAUCAAAUUUGCUCU